UUUAUAAAUUAGAGCUUAUAGCAUUUUGAUUUCGACUCAAAAGAUGGAUUUUUUAGUGAAG
rnacentral:tRNA from 1 species